ensembl:snRNA LOC120099480 U1 spliceosomal RNA
AUAUUUACCUGGAAGAGGAGAUACCAUGACCAGGAAAGUGGUUUUCCCGAGGGAGACUUGCUCACUGCACUCUAGGUAUGCUGAACCCUGUGACUUCCUGAGGAGC